UAGACCUGUAACUUAGGAAAAGGGUUGGCUCAAAUGGAAGGAGUGUAUUAAGGAGGGUGGCGGACAGUUGAUAGCUGCUGUAGUAGGUGUUGAUGGCAACGUUGAUACUUGUUUGCAGGUAGAGGUUGGCUGUAGAUGUACUCUCACUACUUGGUACAUUCAUUUACUUCUAACUUUGAACUGUUACUAACUAGGGGAAUCCGACUGUUUAAUAAAAACAAAGCAUUGAGAAUGUUUUUUGGAUUGAAAGUGUCUUUUAACUCAAUGUGAUUUCUGCCCAGUGCUCUGAAUGUCAAUGUGAAGAGAUUCGACCAAGCGCGGGUUAACGGCGGGAGUAACUAUGACUCUCUUAAGGUAGCCAAAUGCCUCGUCAUCUAAUUAGUGACGUGCAUGAAUGGAUUAACGAGAUUCCUACUGUCCCUAUCUACGAGCUAGUGAAACCACAGUCCGGGGAACGGGCCGGAUAAAAUAGACAGCGGG
rnacentral:rRNA from 1 species